rnacentral:rRNA from 1 species
GCAGCAAUGUGAUUUAGCUUAUCGAUACUAAUAGGUCGAGGACUGACCAA